AUCGUGUUUGAGCCCAAUUCCCGCCCCCCCCCCCCCUCCCAGGCCAGAGCUGACCUGAUGUGGUCUGGGUCAGUUACAUUCUCUGACCCUGAAUUUGGACUUGAAGGACGGAGGCAAGGUCUUCUGGUUACAGAAGCUGAGGGCAGAUGACAUUGUGAGUUGUGAGGCAAUCAUGCACAGAGCAGGAGACGAAGGUGACCCACAGAGAAUGAGAAGAGAAAAGAGAAGGCAGGGAAGCAGGGACAAGGAGCCCCGGGUCCAAGAGAGGAGGUGCCUGACGGGACAGCUGCCCCGGACCAAAAGCGUUCUGGUCUUUCCUGAAGCCCCCAAAACUCGAUCCUUGGAGUCCACGAGAUGAGACGAGUGAGGCCCUGAAGAAGAAAAGUGAUGUUUGGCAGGUGGUAUGUGGGCAGGGCAGGGGGGCCCCCAGAACCUGCGGUUUUCUUUGAACAACCAAGUCAACAAACGCAUGGGUCUAGAUCCCCCAGGGGCCCUUCCUCGGGACUAUGCCGUGACCCUGACUUCCCAGUGAGUAACUCGGUCUGCACAGCAGAGCUGCAGACCCCACGCCUUCGAAUCGGAGAAACUUGCUCCAAACUCCAACUCUACCACUUAGCAGAGGGAUGGCCCUUUACUUCAAGCACUCGGAACCUCGGUUUCCUCAUCUGCCAAACAGGGACGGUGUGGUGAUGCACCACAUAUGCUGUUAAAAUCAAAGAAUGCACGCAAAGGGCUUGGCAUAAAACUUGGCACACAGCAGAGUCAGGGCACAAGCAAGAGUCAAGAAACACAGCCUAUUACCUGUGAAAGAAAUCCAAAUACGUUUACCAUUUGUCCCAAGGACCCUCCUACGCAAGAUACUGUCCAACCACACAAACAGUUUUUGUGUUGGGUGAAGUGAAAGUGGAAAGGUGGGGACGUGGCAAACUGUGGACAAGUGGAGGCGGAGGGUGAAGUCAGGAGAGAGGCAAAUGACCUUAAUCGCCUACGCCCUCUAUCUGUUAUUAGAAAGUAGCGGGGAGACCCAACCAG